GAUGUGGGACUCGAUCCCGGGUCUCCAGGAUCACACCCCAGGCUGCAGGCGGCGCUAAACCACUGUGCCACCGGGGCUGCCCAGUAUCUCUCAUUCUGUAUGCAAUUCUGACAAUCUGAUCUUGACACUCCCCUGAGAAGGGGGGACCUAAGUCCUUUCCUCUUUUAUAUCUGUGCAGUUUUGUGACUCACGCGUAAACAAGAGAAUGUGGCAGAGGCGAUGCUGCAGGACUUCCAAGAUUAGGCAGAAAGGGCCACCCAGUUUCUGCCUGGGUCACUGGAAGACUCCACGACGCCUUCAGCCACCACUCAAGCAGUCAGGCUACCUUAGGCCACCAUGCUGUGGGGAAGCCCAAACUAGCAAGUGUGGCGACCACAUGGAGGGGUCUGACUCCAGAGAGAUGUCUGUUCAGCCCCCCAGAUGCCCUGAUUGCCCAGCUCAGCUUGGAUGCCUCCUCCUAGAGGCCCUCCCUGACCUCCCAGGGUGGCUCAGCUGCCCACUCUGGGCUUCCGUGGUCGUCCUCUGUUUCUCCCAUUCCCCCCAGCCCCGCCCACUCUGGGGUGUCACUAUCUGUCACCCAUUGACUGUGAGCCACCAGGAGGCAGUGACUGAUUGCUGCUGAUGAUCUACUAAGCAAGAGACUUACCACGAAUAAACAGUGCAUGGACAAGGAAAUAUCCAGAGAGUCUGGAUCUGUUUUUAGCUUCCCUGGCUGGUGUCACCGCCACCCCCCUUCCUGCUGGCUCACUUGUUUGCUGCGGUCGAAUAAUGUUCCCGGACUUCCUGAGCUGUUUGUUUGAAGACAGCCCUGUAUUGAUUGAAUCUAGUGUGUGCUCAGCCUGAGAUGCUAAGAGAGACUGGCCCCUCCCCAGCAGGCCAGGGGCUUGGAAAAUCCUGA